rnacentral:rRNA from 1 species
GACGAACGCUGGCGGCGUGCCUAAUACAUGCAAGUCGAGCGAGCUUGCCUAGAUGAUUUUAGUGCUUGCACUAAAUGAAACUAGAUACAAGCGAGCGGCGGACGGGUGAGUAACGCGUGAGCAAUCUGCCUUUCAGAGGGGGAUAACAGCCGGAAACGGCUGCUAAUACCGCAUAAUGCAUCGAAUUCGCAUGUUUUGAUGCCAAAGAUUUUAUCGCUGAAAGAUGAGCUCGCGUCUGAUUAGCUAGUUGGCGGGGUAACGGCCCACCAAGGCGACGGUCAGUAGCCGGACUGAGAGGUUGAACGGCCACAUUGGGACUGAGACACGGCCCAG